rnacentral:rRNA from 1 species
AUGAACGCUAGCUACAGGCUUAACACAUGCAAGUCGAGGGGCAGCGGGAUUGAAGCUUGCUUCAAUUGCCGGCGACCGGCGCACGGGUGAGUAACGCGUAUCCAACCUUCCGCUUACUCGGGGAUAGCCUUUCGAAAGAAAGAUUAAUACCCGAUGGUAUGAUGAGAUUGCAUGAUAGCAUCAUUAAAGAUUUAUUGGUAAGCGAUGGGGAUGCGUUCCAUUAGGUAGUAGGCGGGGUAACGGCCCACCUAGCCGACGAUGGAUAGGGGUUCUGAGAGGAAGGUCCCCCACAUUGGAACUGAGACACGGUCCAAACUCCUACGGGAGGCAGCAGUGAGGAAUAUUGGUCAAUGGACGAGAGUCUGAACCAGCCAAGUAGCGUGAAGGAUGAAGGUCCUACGGAUUGUAAACUUCUUUUAUAAGGGAAUAAAACCUCCCACGUGUGGGAGCUUGUAUGUACCUUAUGAAUAAGCAUCGGCUAACUCCGUGCCAGCAGCCGCGGUAAUACGGAGGAUGCGAGCGUUAUCCGGAUUUAUUGGGUUUAAAGGGAGCGCAGACGGGUCGUUAAGUCAGCUGUGAAAGUUUGGGGCUCAACCUUAAAAUUGCAGUUGAUACUGGCGUCCUUGAGUGCGGUUGAGGUGUGCGGAAUUCGUGGUGUAGCGGUGAAAUGCUUAGAUAUCACGAAGAACUCCGAUUGCGAAGGCAGCACACUAAGCCGUAACUGACGUUCAUGCUCGAAAGUGUGGGUAUCAAACAGGAUUAGAUACCCUGGUAGUCCACGCCGUAAACGAUGAGUGCUAAGUGUUAGGGGGUUUCCGCCCCUUAGUGCUGCAGCUAACGCAUUAAGCACUCCGCCUGGGGAGUACGACCGCAAGGUUGAAACUCAAAGGAAUUGACGGGGGCCCGCACAAGCAGCGGAGCAUGUGGUUUAAUUCGAAGCAACGCGAAGAACCUUACCUAGACUUGACAUCCCCUGAAUAACGUAGAGAUACGCGAAGCCCUUCGGGGCAGGGAGACAGGUGGUGCAUGGUUGUCGUCAGCUCGUGUCGUGAGAUGUUGGGUUAAGUCCCGCAACGAGCGCAACCCUUAUUGUUAGUUGCCAUCAUUUAGUUGGGCACUCUAGCGAGACUGCCGGUGACAAACCGGAGGAAGGUGGGGAUGACGUCAAAUCAUCAUGCCCCUUAUGACUUGGGCUACACACGUACUACAAUGGCGUUAAACAAAGAGAAGCAAGACCGCGAGGUGGAGCAAAACUCAGAAACAACGUCCCAGUUCGGACUGCAGGCUGCAACUCGCCUGCACGAAGUCGGAAUUGCUAGUAAUCGUGGAUCAGCAUGCCACGGUGAAUACGUUCCCGGGCCUUGUACACACCGCCCGUCACACCAUGAGAGCCAGGGGGACCCGAAGUCGAUAGUCUAACCGCAAGGAGGACGUCGCCGAAGGUAAAACUGGUGAUUGGGGUG